GAACGUGUUUGGGAGUCUGUGGGAUUUGAAAGAGGGAUGCUGUCUUGUAAUCUGCCUGUUUGUCCUGUUUAGUAGGAAUUCAAGUGCUUAAGGAGGAAAUGUUUAGAACAAAGCACUGCAGAUACAGUUUGACAUAACUGUAUAAAGAUUCAGUGACUGAACCUGACUGUGUUGUUACAUUUCUGUGAAGAUGCAAAAAUGGACCAGCUCUGACAGACCUGUCCUCUGGGCUAGUAUUAGAAAGCUGUACCAGCAGCCGGCCAGACUCCAGUAUCAGCUAUGGCAAACCAUGCGUGAAGCUGAUGCCUUCAAACCAUUUCCUAUAGAUGAGGCAUAGCACGUGCUGUGGUAUUUAUGAGCCGCCAUUUGUUGUACUAUUGUGGUGAACCUACCCUGGAUGUGAAGAUUGCCUUUUGUCAGGUGUGUGUUCCUUACAGGUAAAACAAGGUACAGUANUUUUACAUGUGCAAGAAUACAUACUUCUAUUUCUUCUUCUUUACAUUCAGUGCUACUUCAGUCUGGACAUCAGUCAAUUCCCGACAAUGUAUAGUGAAUGCUUUCUGUCAAUGAGUUCUUGAUUUAGUCAGUAAUCAAAACAUGCUGCUAUAAUUAAUCUUUUGCUGAUACUCCAGUUUAAUAGGAAGUGUUCAUAGAAUCAUAGAAUGAUUAAGGUUGGAAAAGACAGCUAAGAUCAUCUAGUCCAGCUGUCAUAGCCAUAAACAGUACUUAAUGUAAUAUUAGUGUUUUUGUUAAAGAAUAUCCGAUGAAAUCAACAGCAUUUUGGAUGAAUUUUUAUCACUGGGUGAAGCAGAUCCAAGUUAAAUGCCCAUAGCAGUACCCAAAGAGGAGCUAUUCAACUGUGCAAGAGAUACUACUCUGUCAUUACAGGAAACAGGAUUUUGUUCUUCCAGAUCUUGCUGCACAAACAGCUCUUCAUGAUCCUCAUAUCUUCAGAUGUAUACCCUGAGGAUAAAAGGUAGUUUAGGCUGCUUCUUAAUUUAUUUUCUCCAAAAAGAUAGGCCCUGAUCCAAAUAACACUCAAGCACAUACUCAGCUUUAAGUACAA
rnacentral:lncRNA from 1 species